ensembl:lncRNA
ACCACCUUGCCAUCCAUCAGUAGCCUCUGAACUGGGCACAGAUGGGUCCUCCAGAUGCCUUGGCCCUGGGAUGCAAAAGCUGCUGCUGGGACAGGCAGGUGGCCAGAGAGGUGAAAGCACAGCCUCUGUGGGCUUGAUGGCCAGGAGUCCCUCCCCAAUCUUUGUCACUGUCCCAGGGCCUGGUGUGAGGCUUGCUCAGCCUGAGGGCCAUGUCAGCAGAGGCUCUGGGGUGACACCAGCUUCCCUGUCUGACACCAGAGAGGUGCACGAGGUGCCUGUGCAGCAUCAGGAGAGUGCUGCUAGUGACAAACCAGCUCCUGUCUCCAGCUUCGGGAUGUUUAAAAUUCAGGGAGCCACAGAAGCUGUGCAAGUGGGUGCAGGACAGAGAACAACUGCCUCCUUCAGCACCACUCCUGCACACCCUGCUCUGCCUGCAGCUCCGUGGGGAGAAACACUGCCAAGAGACCAAAAGCCUUGGGAGCCCUCUGGUGUAGCCAGGAGCACCCAGGUGCCAGAAGGACAGCAAGGGAAACACGCUGAUGUGUCAGAGCUGGGCCCUCCCUGGGUAACCGAGUACUUUCCCAUCAGGAGCUGCCACCUCAUCUUCCGGGGUGGGUCGGGCCUGUUUUACCUCCCGCUGCACGCUGACAUCAAACCCAACAUCUGGUGCAACUGGACCAUCUGGGCAGGCCCCCAGAAGCACAUUGUCAUCUAUGUCCAAGGGUUCCAGGGCAGCCAUGGCUGUGGCCACAACCAGGACAAGAUCAUCUUCCAGGGGGUCUCGUCCAGCGUGGAAACCAAAGUGGUGUUUGCCUGCCACAACCGAGGCACUCUGAUCUUUGCCGCACGAGCCACUGAGGUCCAGGUGUUGUUUCUGUCAGGCAGUGGCUUCAGAAACCAUGAAUACAGGUAUUUUAGAGGCCAGUAUUAUGUAUUCAGAGAUUCUGAAACUGUGGGUCUGUCAAGCAAUGCCACAGCAGCUCCCCAGGAGACCUCUAAAAAAGAGAGCGGGAGGACAGGGGUGACCAAAGGUUUAUUGUUCAUGCCGACAGCUCCUCCAGGCCCACCAGCUGCACCUGCAGAUGGCAGGAUCCAGCCUGACAUUGUGAGCUCAAAAGAAGAGAGCCAGCAUUCUCCUGAUCUCAUGGAAGAUGGUCAGUCCGGUGCUAACCGGAGUGAGCAUGGCCAGGAUGAAAUUAGGCUGGAAAGGAACCCUAAGGAUGGUGGCAGCAAGGGCAGAGAAACUGAAGAUGACAUGUUGGUGGAGCCAGCUCCAGCUGGGCAAGACACUGGGGGUAAAGCUGAGCCACCUGCCCUGGAGCUGGCCAAGGGGGACACCGAGCCAGAGACUGCUCUGGUCACCAUGGUCCCAUGUCACCCAGCUGGCUCCCCUUGCUCACAUCUGCCCAGCAGCAGUGUAGGUGUCUCUGACACAUCACCUGCCCUGGGUCAGGCCAGUGGCAGCCCCUCAGAAGUGGCAGCUGCUGCACAUGUCACACAGACACCAGAGCUGGCAGAGCCACCACUGAACACCAGCACAGAACCACCUCUCUACCCCUCUCCUGGUGUGACUGCUGCUGAUGUGGUGUCUCUGGGAGGAAGGACUGAAGAGCUCUUUGGUAAGGCCAUUUUUUGGUUAUUACUGGCUGAACUGCCCCCUGACAAUGUGCAA